rnacentral:lncRNA from 11 species
CACUUAUUUGCUACUGAACUUUCUUCCUCAAUAUUAACUUUUCGUGGUCUUACUGAACUUCUUAUUUUGCAGUAUGCCACCGAAGAAGAAUGUUGGGGGGCCUAAGGGCAAGGGUCCUGCGAAGAAGAUUCCAGCAAAGCGCCCGCCUCCACCAAGUGGUCCUUCAACCGAGGAUGAAGACUCUGCACAGUUGUUGGGAGUGUUGGUCGCCCGGAUCGAGGCACUGGAAAGAGAGAAAGCAGCGGCUGCUGCUGCGGAGGCGCAGAAGGCUGGUGGGGGCAGUAACACCGGGUUAAUUAGGUCCUUAUUUUCCCGUAUUUCUGCCUUAGAAGGGGAAAGGAGUGCUGCAGUGCCUGUCGCUGAUGCGAGCCUGGUUACAUCUACGCCGGUGACCGCUGAAGCUGUUCCAUCUACUUCGGCGGCAGCAGCUGAGAUGAGAAGUGCCGUAUCCGCUUUAGAACCCACCCUGUUGGCAAGUAGACGACGCGUCCUGAUUUGCGGGCACAGUUAUGUGCACUGGGCAGAGCGACAGGCGCGCAGAGGUCCCUACGACCAGCAUCUCGGCCUCGCUUCCUUGGCUUUUGUUGAAUGGAGGGGAAGAAGAGGUCUGCGGUGGGAGGGUUUGCUCCCUUUGUUGUUUGGGUCAGGGGUCCGUUUUCCACCUGACCUUAUUGUUAUGCAUUUGGGAGGCAAUGAUUUGGGG